rnacentral:sRNA from 1 species
AUAUCUCUCCGUACGGGAAGGAUGAGAAGCUUCGACUAAGGUUCGAUUCGAGCGCAGCGAGAACGCGUUGCCGCAGGCAACGACCCGAAGGGCGAAGCGCGCAGCGCUGAGUCAUCCUUCCCCCCACCACCA